UACAGAGGGUGCGAGCGUUGUCCGGAAUCACUGGGCGUAAAGGGCGCGUAGGCGGCCAUGUAGGUCCGGUGUGAAAACUCGAGGCUUAACCUCGAGAUGUCAUCGGAAACCAUUUGGCUAGAGUCCGGAAGAGGAGAGUGGAAUUCCUGGUGUAGCGGUGAAAUGCGCAGAUAUCAGGAAGAACACCAAUGGCGAAAGCAGCUCUCUGGGACGGUACUGACGCUGAGACGCGAAAGCGUGGGGAGCGAACAGG
rnacentral:rRNA from 1 species